GACGAACGCUGGCGGCGUGCUUAACACAUGCAAGUCGAACGGAAAGGCCCUGCUUUUGUGGGGUGCUCGAGUGGCGAACGGAUGAGUAACACGUGAGUAACCUGCCCUUGACUUUGGGAUAACUUCAGGAAACUGGGGAUAAUAACGGAUAGGAGCACCUGCUGCAUGGUGGGGGUUGGAAAGUUUCGGCGGUUGGGGAUGGACUCGCGGCUUAUCAGCUUGUUGGUGGGGUAGUGGCUUACCAAGGCUUUGACGGGUAGCCGGCCUGAGAGGGUGACCGGCCACAUUGGGACUGAGAUACGGCCCAGACUCCUACGGGAGGCAGCAGUGGGGAAUAUUGCACAAUGGGCGGAAGCCUGAUGCAGCAACGCCGCGUGCGGGAUGACGGCCUUCGGGUUGUAAACCGCUUUCGCCUGUGACGAAGCGUGAGUGACGGUAAUGGGUAAAGAAGCACCGGCUAACUACGUG
rnacentral:rRNA from 1 species